GCCUGACUGGCUCGGUCGGUAGAGCGUGUGACUCCUGAUCUCAGGGUCGUGAGUUCAAGCCCCACCCCCAUGUUGGGCG